rnacentral:rRNA from 1 species
GACGAACGCUGGCGGCGUGCUUAACACAUGCAAGUCGAACGGAAAGGCCCUGCUUGCAGGGUACUCGAGUGGCGAACGGGUGAGUAACACGUGGGUGAUCUGCCCUGCACUUCGGGAUAAGCUUGGGGAACUGGGUCUAAUACCGGAUAGGAACCAUCUUUAGUGUGGUGGUUGGAAAGUUUUUUCGGUGUAGGAUGAGCUCGCGGCCUAUCAGCUUGUUGGUGGGGUAAUGGCCUACCAAGGCGGCGACGGGUAGCCGGCCUGAGAGGGUGUACGGCCACAUUGGGACUGAGAUACGGCCCAGACUCCUACGGGAGGCAGCAGUGGGGAAUAUUGCACAAUGGGCGCAAGCCUGAUGCAGCGACGCCGCGUGGGGGAUGAAGGCCUUCGGGUUGUAAACUCCUUUCGCUAGGGACGAAGCUUUGUUGUGACGGUACCUAGAUAAGAAGCACCGGCUAACUACGUG